rnacentral:tRNA from 1 species
GGGGUCGUAGUCCAACGGUAAGACGGCCGGCUCCAGACCGGUCGACCUGGGUUCGACUCCCAGCGACCCCA